rnacentral:rRNA from 1 species
GACGAACGCUGGCGGCGUGCUUAACACAUGCAAGUCGAACGGAAAGGCCCUGCUUUUGUGGUGUGCUCGAGUGGCGAACGGGUGAGUAACACGUGAGUAACCUGCCCUUGACUUUGGGAUAACUUCAGGAAGCUGGGGCUAAUACCGGAUAUGAGCUCCUGCUGCAUGGUGUGGGUUGGAAAGUUUCGGCGGUUGGGGAUGGACUCGCGGCUUAUCAGCUUGUUGGUGGGGUAGUGGCUUACCAAGGCUUUGACGGGUAGCCGGCCUGAGAGGGUGACCGGACACAUUGGGACUGAGAUACGGCACAGACUCCUACGGGAGGCAGCAGUGGGGAAUAUUGCACAAUGGGAGGAAGCCUGAUGCAGCAACGCAGCGUGCGGGAUGACGGCCUUCGGGUUGUAAACCGCUUUCGCCUGUGACGAAGCGUGAGUGACGGUAAUGGGUAAAGAAGCACCGGCUAACUACGUG